GACGAACGCUGGCGGCGUGCUUAACACAUGCAAGUCGAGCGAUGAAGCACCUUCGGGUGUGAAUUAGCGGCGAACGGGUGAGGAACACGUGAAGAAUCUGCCUUCAACUCUGGGAUAACUCCGGGAAACCGGGGCUAAUACCGGAUAUGAGCCUUGAUCGCAUGAUCGGGGCUGGAAAGUUUUUCAGUUGAAGAUGACUUCGCGGCCUAUCCGCUUGUUGGUGAGGUAAUGGCUCACCAAGGCGACGACGGGUAGCCGGCCUGAGAGGGCGACCGGCCACACUGGGACUGAGACACGGCCCAGACUCCUACGGGAGGCAGCAGUGGGGAAUAUUGGGCAAUGGAGGAAACUCUGACCCAGCGACGCCGCGUGAGGGAUGAAGGCCUUCGGGUUGUAAACCUCUUUCAGUAGGGAAGAAGCGAAAGUGACGGUACCUACAGAAGAAGCACCGGCUAACUAUGUGCCAGCAGCCGCCGUAA
rnacentral:rRNA from 1 species